GACGUAGGGCGCGAGCGUUGUCCGGAUUUAUUGGGCGUAAAGAGCUCGUAGGCGGCUUGUCGCGUCGGAUGUGAAAGCCCGGGGCUUAACUCCGGGUCUGCAUUCGAUACGGGCAGGCUAGAGUGUGGUAGGGGAGAUCGGAAUUCCUGGUGUAGCGGUGAAAUGCGCAGAUAUCAGGAGGAACACCGGUGGCGAAGGCGGAUCUCUGGGCCAUUACUGACGCUGAGGAGCGAAAGCGUGGGGAGCGAACAGG
rnacentral:rRNA from 1 species